CUGGAAACAGAGAAGUGCUUUAGCAAUAAAGAACCCGGUGACAGGUGCUGCAUGGCUGUCGUCAGCUCGUGUCGUGAGAUGUUGGGUUAAGUCCCGCGACGAGCGCAACCCUCGCCUUUAGUUGCCAGCAUUCAGUUGGGCACUCUAGAGGGACUGCCGGUGUCAAACCGGAGGAAGGUGGGGAUGACGUCAAGUCCUCAUGGCCUUUAUGUCUAGGGCUACACACGUACUACAAUGGCCGGUACAAAGGGCAGCCACUCAGCGAUGAGGCGCUAAUCCCAUAAAGCCGGUCUCAGUCCGGAUCGCAGUUUGCAACUCGACUGCGUGAAGUUGGAAUCGCUAGUAAUCGUAGAUCAGCAUGCCACGGUGAAUACGUUCCCGGGCCUU
rnacentral:rRNA from 1 species